UCUGUCACCGAGAGCGAUUGCUGUAGUUCAAUUUCUUGCAUCAAAAUUGGCAGAAUAUGACUUCACUGAUCACUCUGACGUCAUUUACGGCCGACCUAUGGUGGCUGGAACAACCCCAGUGCCGCACAGUUCUGCGGGAUAUUCCGGCACCUGCUCCACCGCUGCGGCGUCCGGCCCGGCAGCACAGGGAAAGUGGCAGCCCUCGACCCGACCAGCAUCCUGGCAGUCGGUCACACGACCAGCGGACGGGGAGCCAGCCUUACUACCUCGGCCUCCACCACCUCAGACAACGGUGCCACGGCACUCCACAUCAUCACGGAGCACGACUUCCAGCCUGGGCUGUCGUCUGGUGGGCAACAUCGUCACCUACAUCGCAGGGUUCGUGGUGAAGAAGGCGCUCGACUCUGUCAGCUGUAGCACCUGUCAGGAGGCCCUGGUGAGCGACAUCCAGCCGGACGACAUGACACAGCUUUACCACCUCUUCAUCAUCUCUGCCAGAUGAGCUAAGGUGGGGACGGGUUACAUGCCUGGGAUCUGACUGAGACCCGCUCAUACCCUGCCGAAGUGUUGGUGAUUUCAGCGGUCAGCUGUCUCUAGCCGGUGUCAGUGAGUGGCGGCCAGCUGCCGCUGGAGUGGGUAUCUACCGUCGAUAGCUGCUGUGUGGCGGAUAGCGUGGAUUUGGAUGGACACUUCAUAUUAAUGAACAGAUCAAUGUCUGGCCGAUAAAAGACGUAUUUUGUCGAUGAUUGCUUAGUGACUGAGUGGGUCCACUGGCGACCAAUGCAGUGGGCGCUGGGUUAACGCCUCGCCUCUUGUGACCGUGUCGAUAUGUAGCACUGUUAAUUGCCGAUUCGUUGCCGGCCGUCUCUGCUCCGUGGCUGGCUGAUCCGGCACAAACUGGUGUUCGUGGCUGAAGGCGCGGCUACAGUUACACUAGCUCGCCACGUGCCUGUGCGACUAUCGUCGGUGCUGUCUGCAAGGGCGAUGUCGGUGCCUGUAGGGGGCGCGGAUUGAUUCAAAGUGAGGAAUGGGUCAUCGGAGCUCGGGUCAGGUCAUGUUCGGCUAAAAUAAGCGGAUUUUGCGAUUUGCCGCAUCCGGGUGAAUUUCCUUGCCUUCUAGUGCAUGUUUAUGCAUUUUACAUGCGUUUUUUUUAGUGUUGAUGUCUAGAUAACGUGCAUUUGCCUCGAGGUCAAGGCUGCGCUUCAUAUGGGCAGUUUUCGGAGCAUCUUGCUCAUUUUAUUCGUAAUUCUUAAUUAUGUUUGCGGAUUUGUGCCCGCAAAUCAUUUUUUAAAGUAAGAUUGACACGGGAUUCGAGAUCGGCGCCCAUAAAUACACUUCACAUGACCC